AUGUCUAAAUCAUCAACUCCAAAUUUUCAUGUUUUAAAUGCUAAGAAUGCUGUUGAAUCUCUUAAAUCUGUAUUAAGAACAAAUCCAUGGGAAGGUGCUGAUCAUUUGGAGAUUAUACCAGCUUCUACGGUGGCAUCAUUGCUUAUUGAUAUUGUGCCGAUUUCUGAUAGCGAUGGUUCGGUUCAUGUAGUUAACGUUGCUGAAUGA